GAAGUCCGAGUCUGAUGUCAGAAGAUGUAACCAAAGAAAAUAAACAAAAUGACAAUAAUACAUAAAUAACAACAGACUACUAGCAGUUAACUGACAUGCCAGCUCCAGACUUCAAUUAAACUGACUGAAAGAUUAUGAUUUCAUCAUAUGAACAUCAGGCACAAUCCUUCCCGUUAGGGGUUUAGUAUCAUACCAUCAAUUCAAAUUAACUUGCUCAAUAUUGUAUACCAAAAGAUUUUAUGAAAUUGGUACUCAUAUUCUAUAUGGUACUACUUAUAUUCUUCUACCAGGAAAAGGUCACCUAGAAUCUAUACUUUAUUGUUGAAGAUUGAUUCACGGUUAGUGUCCAAAAUUUUGUUCAUCCUUGUUAUUUUUUUUAAGUAUUAUUCUGUUGCUUAGGCAGUUUAGAAAAAUUGGAUACUUGCCUCCAUUGAGGCAGAUCAGUAUGUAGAAGGUGAAGAGAAUGUCAACAUUAAACAAGGGCAAAUCAUUACAUUGACUGAUUAAAUCCACAAAAACUCAUUCUUAUACAAGUAAAAAGGAUGAUUAACAUAUCUAUUU
rnacentral:lncRNA from 1 species